rnacentral:rRNA from 1 species
GUAUGAAUGGCCACACGAGGGCUUUACUGUCUCUUACUUCCAAUCCGUGAAAUUGACCUUCCCGUGAAGAGGCGGGAAUAUGACAAUAAGACGAGAAGACCCUAUGGAGCUUUAAUUAACCGACCCAAAGAGAUCUUGAUAAUCAACCGACAGGGAUAACAUACCUCUACCAUGGGCCGACAAUUUAGGUUGGGGUGACCUCGGAGAAUAAAACAACCUCCGAGUGAUUUAAAUCUAGACUAACUAGUCGAAAGUACUACAUCACUUAUUGAUCCAAAAACUUGAUCAACGGAACAAGUUACCCUAGGGAUAACAGCGCAAUCCUAUUUUAGAGUCCAUAUCGACAAUAGGGUUUACGACCUCCAUGUUGGA